ACGGAAGGCAGCAGUGAGGAAUAUUGGUCAAUGGAGGCAACUCUGAACCAGCCAUGUCGCGUGAAGGAAUACGGCCCUACGGGUCUUAAACUUCUUUUAUAGGGGGAUAAAGUGAGCCACGUGUGGCUUAUUGUAGGUACCCUAUGAAUAAGCAUCGGCUAACUCCGUGCCAGCAGCCGCGGUAAUACGGAGGAUGCGAGCGUUAUCCGGAUUUAUUGGGUUUAAAGGGUGCGCAGGCGGCACGUUAAGUCCGCGGUGAAAUGUCGGGGCUCAACCCGGGCACUGCCGUUGAAACUGGCGAGCUUGAGUGCGGAUGAGGUCGGCGGAAUGUGAUGUGUAGCGGUGAAAUGCUUAGAUAUGUCACAGAACACCGAUUGCGAAGGCAGCUGACUAAUCCGCAACUGACGCUCAGGCACGAAAGCGUGGGGAUCGAACAGGAUUAGAUACCCUGGUA
rnacentral:rRNA from 1 species